CGCCGCCGCCGCCUCCGCCUCCUGGAUCUCAGGCCGAAGGGUCGUGCCCAGAGGGUCAGUGGUGGGAGUCAGGCCCCGUGCCUCUCGGGACUUGGGGUCCAACUCAUGCCCUCACUUCUUUAUUUAUUAAAUGUAGAUUGAGCCUACGUGCCCAGGCACGGAUUAGGCACUGGGGAGGGGAAGGGGGCUGUGAUAAAAAAUGAACAAAGUCCUGCCAAGAGGAGUUCACAGUCUAGCGCGCAAGGCAGACCAGACUGGCUGAGUUUGACAAUGGCUCCCAAAGAGAUGUCCACCUCUUAAUUCCUGGAACCUAUGAAUGUUACCUUAUCUGGAAAAAAAGAUCUUUGCAGAUGUGAUUAAGAAUCUUGAGAUGCAGAGAUUAUCCUGGAUCAUCUCAGUGGGCUCUAAAUGCCACCACAAGUGUCCCUGUAAGAGAGGCCAAGGAAGAUUAUACACACAGAGAAGAGUAAAGGUAUCAUGCCCAGCAUGGAGUCCACUGGGGAGCUUGAACUCACAACCCUGAGAUCAAGAGCCAGAUGCUUAACUGAUUGAGCCACCCAGACACCCCUGGCCUUCUUCAUCCAUCUCUUGACCUCAGAAAUUUCUCCCAUAAUUCCAGCCCAAGCCUCACCCCUCAAGGACUUUUACGCAGUCCCAGCACAAUCCCAACUGUAUUUAGCGCUUGAUCCUGCAUGGAAAAAGUACCUGCUGGGUCUUUGGUAUAUCUAGUCUAGGUGGAGGAUCUUGGAGCAGGUUAUGGUAGAAAGGGAGGUGGUGGGUGUUCCAGCUUAAGAUUUUCUCUGGGAGUGGGGAAUGGUGAGCUUUGUCUCCCUGUAGUCCAGGGGCCAUCUGAAUGGGGCUAUGGAGUGGGGGAGGAGGGUCCUCCUUGGGGAUCUAGUGGGCAGGUGCCAGCUGCAUGCCCCAGGCCUGCCCCAAGCCUCUUGGCUGGCAGCCAUACCAGUCUGUGAAGGAGCUGGCUUCUUUGAGGGAGGCGGAUUCCUGGAGGAAGCUCAGGAAGCAUCCUUGGCCUGGCAGUCUAACAUGGGUAAGGCUGAGGUUACGAGAGUUACUGUGGAUCCUCCAAUGGGGACAGCACAUCCAGAUUCCUGAGGCUGUCAUCAACCCAGCUCAGGAAGUUGUGAAGCACUCUACUAACCUAAGCAGUGUUUCCUUGUGGGUAGCCACUCAGUAAAUGUUUUCUGAUAAUGAGGGGCCACCUAACUCCUGGACGCAGGUAAGGAGGAAAGUGGGUCACAGAGAGGCACAGAUUCUGCCUCUCUCACCUCCCAUUAGCUUCCUCUUCCCUCUGAAAUCAAGUCUAUGCCCAGCACCUCUCCCAAAUGAGAUGUCUGAGCCUGUCAUCUGAUGGCCACCAGAGAAGGAAACACACUAUAGCCGGGAAGGUGCAUAGCAUGAGCACAGGUACCCAAACCCCUAUCCUGGCAGAGUUGCUGUGGGGCUGUCACCACCAUGGCUGACUCAAGCUAGCUACCAGGACCUGGGAAACAUUGGUGCAUUAGGAUUCAUGGGAAAAGCUGGGGCACAGCUUAAGCUAACAACUUGCAGAAACCAACGUGAUUAGGGCAAUGGUCUGGAUGUGGGAAGACUGCCCUGUAUGUGUGAAUCAUUCUUCUCCAUGCAUGGGUGAUAAGUGAGCUGUCUGUACACGUGCUCCAGGGGGCCUCAGCAAGCAUCCUGACCUGCAUGCACAUAUGCCGGCAUGCGCAAAUGUACAAUGCAUGAGUGUCUUUAUUGAAUCCCAUCUUCCCUCUUCUCUGCUCUGGGUCUUCUCAUUUCCUGGUAAAAUGGGAAGUGAGGUACGAAUGUCAAUUUUACCAUCCCCAAACCUGCUCCUUUGUGUUGAAGGUCCCUACCUCCAUUGGCCCAUGACAGCAACUGGUGGAUUCCUUGUGGGUUCUGAGCUGAGGGAUCCCAGCUCCUUAUUGGCUUAGAUGACCAUCUUGCAUCAAUUCCUCUGCCCUGGUAACUCCCUCAUCCCCUAGUGUGUCCCAUGCCUCGUCUGUAUCUAGUGUCCAAAUCAAGGGGAGAAGUGGGAGGAGGUAGGGUGAUGUUACAGGAGUGGGAGUAGGAAGGGUGGAUCAGAUACUGCUCGAUUUUGCCUGGGUCCCUCUGGAGCACUGCUGCUCAUUUAAAAUUCCGAUUUAAAGCCGAGCGGCUCUUUAAAUUUCCACAUUAGCAUGCCGCCCUGAUGCCAGGCCAAGAUGUUGGGAUGGAUUUGGCAGGAACGCCUCCAACAGCAGCAAGCAGCAGCAUUUGCCAGCAAUAAAACAACGCAUGAAUAAAAGAAGGCCAGCUUGGCAGCAGCAGCAGCCCAGGUAGCUGGUUGAGCUCAGUAGGGGCCCUCAUAUUUGGGGGCUCAGAGGCAUGAAGGCUUGUGCAGGGGCAUGGUGAGGGUAGGCCUCUGUAGCUGUCUUGCCCCCCUCACCCUCAAUCUGUGCCUGCAGUGGAAUCUGGGGUGAGGUCCCAGGCAGGAUUGGGGGUUUUCCCUUGUGCCUGUCUCACCUCCCUCCCUCCAGGCUUAUCUUCUUCAAGGAGACAGAUGUUGCCUUUGAUGAGGACAUAGGAACUUGGCCCAGAGCCUGAGUUGUCCUACUUCAUUACGGGCCCAAAGAACAGGUGGGGUCAGAGAGAGCAACACUGCCUAGAGUGGCUUCCAGAUCCAUGAGUGCUGAGUACUUGGGUGUUAAGGUGCACUCUCAGGACAAGGAGGCUGGGUUAGAAGACAUUGUGAGGACUGGGUAUUGAUGCUGUGCUGGGCUGGAAAGAUGCUCUGGGAUGGGCAGUUGGCUAGAAUGGGAAAUGGUCAGGGAGAGCAAGGGGCUGCCAAGCCUGGUCUAACAUUAACUUUCUGCAGGUUUAGAUAUUGUUUCAGGUCAGAUGACAAGGGCAGCAAAGAAGUCAGAUAAAGCCCCUGGGCUGAAUGCUGGGCACCUCCCAGAGGUCAUUUUGUACACUCUCUGCUUCCCAGGGUCUAGAGAGUAUAGCUCCAAAGGAUGUGAGGCUGCAGGCUCCUGGGUUCCUCUGCUACAAUCACCUGGCUGAGGCUCAUCAACAUCACCCCAGACAUUUCAAGGAACAAGCAGAUGUCUUGUUUGUCUUGCUCUCACCAUGUAUUCCUCCCACUUGGUCAAACGAUCUCUUUCCCUGAAGUCCAGGGGAAGAGGACAGAAGCAAACAGAGGAGUGGCAACAGAUGGUCUCUAUAGUCUCAGCUAAGGCAGAAAAGAGGAGUUUCCUGCAGAGCACCCUUUCCUAAUAGAACUCCUCUCCUCCAGCUCACUGGUGAUUGCAGGCCCCAAAUGGAGAGAAGUUAUUGGGACUUUGAAUUCUCUCCACCCCUGGAGGAGCUGGAGAGCAUAUAUGCAGUUCCAGGUGCUGGAAAGGCAAGGCCCCAUAUCCUGGAACUUAGUUUACUCCUGUCCUGAUGUUUUUAUUUCUUCCCCAAGGAGAAUGAGAUGGCCUGACUUCCCAGGCACCCUGUUUUUUCUCUGGUCCACACAUCAAGGGUAGGUCAGCUCUAGGGUGAGGAAGUGGCUAAGAAGCUGAGUUUAGGCCAGAGUGAUGUCCUUUCAUCAUUUAUUUAUUCAUUCAAGAAAUAUUUACCAAAUAGCUGCUUUAUGUGAGGCACUGUGCUGGGCACUGGAGCACAUUGGUGAGUAUCAACAGAAGUGGUCAAUGUCCUCAUGGAACCUUCCAUCUGGUGGGGGAAACAGGAUUAUUAUUCAAAUGACUGCACAAAUAAGUGACAUCACUGUGCUAAAUGCUCUGAAAGAAGAAUAUAUAGUACCAUGAAAGUAUAUAAUCAGGGGACUUGGCUGAGUCCAAGGAGUUGAGGAUAAGCUUGCAGAGGAGACAGAGAAAGAGCAGCCAGAGUGGUAGGAGAACUGGCAGUGAAAUCACAGAAUCAAAGAAGUUGGUCAACUGUGCCGAGAGAUGCUGAGAGCUCAUGAGACACCUAUUCACCCUAACUCUUCACCUGCUAGUUGUGAGUACAGGUAUGAAAAGGCUCUGGCAUUGUGCCUGGCUCACAGUUGGUGCUCUGUAAUGUUAGCUCCCUCCAUCCCCCCUCAAGCUGAGCCUCCCUCUAGGGACCCCAGAUUUCUGGAACAAAGGAGCUGCCUAGUCUCAGCAUCCUCUGUCAAUUCAGGCCCCAAGUUCCAGCCAUCCAGUCCUCAGUGAGGGAUUCUGGGCUGCUCCCUGCCUCUCCACAUUGGUGCCUUCACAUGGAGCCCUACCAUUCCCUAUGUCCUCCUUUGCAUUGUUCUUCCAUGAAGAGGGGCUGGGGUCUAGGUGUCAGAGAAAGAUGUCAUUCUGGCUCUGCUUCUGGGCUGAGUCUGAGAAGGGAAGGGUGUUGGAAUCCUCAGCAGCUCCUAAAGCUGCCCGGGGUGAAUCUGAGUGUCUUAGGUAGGGAGCGGGAGUAGUGGGGAGAUGGGAAGGGGGGCUGCCCACCCAAGGCGGCGUAGAGCCCAGAGCCUUUUCCAUCGCAGACACCCCAUCUGUCUCCCACAGAAGGCUCGGGUUGGAGGAGGUGCCGAAAAGGGGGGUAUGGAGGGUGAAACUGUACAGUCUGUGAUCUAGCAUGACGACAGUGAAGGUGCUGCUGACUGGGAGGGUCAGGGUGGGGUGUCGGCUGGGAGAACUAGAGGUCAGAAGCUGGGACUGGAGGUAGGGAAGAUGACAGGAAUACUCUGUGCUACUUUCUCUAUAAAGCCCUGUGUUUGAUUUUGAUUUAUAGCUUCUCACUUGACUGGCCACAGGGCAAAGACUCACACCCCUCUGGCCAACAAACUACUGGUGUUCCUAAGCCAAGGCCAGGGCUGGAUUCAUGAUGCCUCCCCCUCCCAGCAGUCAGACCUUUUCCAGACCUUACAAUAAUAUUUAUUUAAA